AACUUUCAGCAACGGAUCACUUGGUUCUGGCAUCGAUGAAGAACGCAGCGAAAUGCGAUAAGUAAUGCGAAUUGCAGAAUUUCCGUGAGUCAUCGAAUCUUUGAACGCACAUUGCGCCCACUGGUAUUCCGGUGGGCAUGCCUGUUCGAGCGUCAUUAUCCUCCCUCAAACCUCGGGUUUGGUGUUGGACCCAAGUUGUGUGAACAACUGGUCUCAAAGACAAUGACGGCGUCCGUGGGACCCUCGGUGCAACGAGCUUUUAACGAGCACGCGUCGAGUUUCAAGGACCUUCCGGGCCGGUCUCCUUCUUUUAUUUACAAAGGUUGACCUCGGAUCAGGUAGGAAUACCCGCUGAACUUAAGCAUAUCAAUAAGCGGAGGCU
rnacentral:misc_RNA from 1 species